CGGCGCCGGCGCCCAGCUCUCCCGCUCCCUGUCCACAGUUCCGUCGAUCUUUCUCUCCGGGAUAUUUACAACAAGCCCAUUGGCUGUGUCAUCUUGGAGGAAAUUAUGCAACACACGCUGUCCUAUAUGCGUAGCAUUGAUGAAAAUUUGGAGUAUUGGCGGUCCAAGAAUCGUUCAUCAUAUUCACAGACGAUAUAUUUCAUGAUAUUUGAAAGAGGUCCAACUACUUUCGUUGAAGCAACAUGCCCACGUCUGACUAGACUUGGGAACAACGGAGGUCCAUCGCAGAGCAUAUAUAAUAUUAUCUCAACAAACAUUCAUGUCCUGAAGAGUAUAAAGCGCUGCUUGGCUGUUUUUCUUGCUGAGGUUUAUCAGGAAGCAGAUAUAGGCAAAGACGGAUUAACUGGAAGUCAUCGUGAAUCCUUAUGUACACUAUUUAUUGUUUUGAACCAUGUCUUUCCCAAAUUGGAGGAAUUACACAGAAAGGUGGGUCUGGGCCAAACUCUUCUAUUCACACAUGAUGGAAGCCCAUCUGAACUUCAAUUCAAAAGAUUGCAGAAGUUGACAAAUAGUUCACAAUGGACAGAUGCAUUCUCAGCAAAUGCUAUAGGUUUGAUCUAUCAAAACCUCAAGAAUCUAGAUAAUUUUGUUUCCGCUUUGCUUUCAAGGCAUAAAAAACCAACACAUAUGACCUUAUACUGGUUCCCUUACACAUGUGGAGCAUUGGCUUCUCUUUAUGCUCUCUAUGGUUAUUACGCCAUAGUAGCUUGA
rnacentral:rRNA from 1 species